rnacentral:rRNA from 1 species
AUUGAACGCUGGCGGCAUGCCUUACACAUGCAAGUCGAACGGCAGCGCGGACUUCGGUCUGGCGGCGAGCGGCGAACGGGUGAGUAAUACAUCGGAACGUACCCUGUUGUGGGGGAUAACGAAGCGAAAGCUUUGCUAAUACCGCAUACGAUCUCAGGAUGAAAGCAGGGGACCGCAAGGCCUUGCGCUCACGGAGCGGCCGAUGGCAGAUUAGGUAGUUGGUGGGAUAAAAGCUUACCAAGCCGACGAUCUGUAGCUGGUCUGAGAGGACGACCAGCCACACUGGGACUGAGACACGGCCCAGACUCCUACGGGAGGCAGCAGUGGGGAAUUUUGGACAAUGGGCGCAAGCCUGAUCCAGCCAUGCCGCGUGCAGGAUGAAGGCCUUCGGGUUGUAAACUGCUUUUGUACGGAACGAAAAGACUCCUUCUAAUAAAGGGGGUCCAUGACGGUACCGUAAGAAUAAGCACCGGCUAACUACGUGCCAGCCGCCGCCGUAA